rnacentral:rRNA from 1 species
UACAGGGGGUGCAAACGUUGCUCGGAAUCAUUGGGCGUAAAGCGCACGUAGGCGGUUCGUUAUGUCGGAUGUGAAAGCCCUUGGCUUAACCGAGGAAGUGCAUCCGAAACUGGCGAGCUAGAGUACGAAAGAGGAUCGCGGAAUUCCCGGGUGUAGAGGUGAAAAUUCGUAGAUAUCGGGAGGAACACCGGUGGCGAAGGCGGCGAUCUGGGUCGAUACUGACGCUGAGGUGCGAAAGCGUGGGGAGCGAACAGG